CCUACGGGACGCAGCAGUGGGGGAUAUUGCACAAUGGGGGGAACCCUGAUGCAGCGACGCCGCGUGGGUGAAGAAGCGCCUCGGCGCGUAAAGCCCUGUCAGCAGGGAAGAAAAUGACGGUACCUGAAGAAGAAGCCCCGGCUAACUACGUGCCAGCAGCCGCGGUAAUACGUAGGGGGCAAGCGUUAUCCGGAUUUACUGGGUGUAAAGGGUGCGUAGGCGGCCCUGCAAGUCAGAAGUGAAAUCCAUGGGCUUAACCCGUGAACUGCUUUUGAAACUGCAGGACUUGAGUGGAGUAGAGGUAG
rnacentral:rRNA from 1 species